AUAAAUGCAAAUUAAUUCAAAAAUAAGAAAAAAAAGAGGAAAAUUCGAAUUCAUUCCCUCAACACGUUGAAACCGUUCCUCUCUCUCCCACAAAUCUCUCCCAUAUCCCCAACCCCCUCUCCACUACAUUAAAUCAUAUAUCAGUUAUUCUUUUCUCCACCUAUCGUACCUGCAAGCAAGAAAGCAAGAACCAUUCUUCAACUUCUAUUCAAGAAACCACAUCCGGAGGAACCUCUUUGUUCACCCAACACUAUUAUCAUCCCAAUUCAACUUCAGGCAGAAGGUUGAGCGGCGACGAGGAUGUGGUGGUGUUGAGCAAAUGAAUAUAAUAUAUUAU